GCGGGAAUAGCUCAGUUGGUAGGCACGACCUUGCCAAGGUCGGGGUCGCAGUUCGAAAUCUCGUUUCCCACUCCA
rnacentral:tRNA from 1 species